rnacentral:rRNA from 1 species
AUGCAACGCGAAGAACCUUACCUGGUCUUGACAUCCCGGAGACCCUUAGGAAACUAGGGGGUGCUUCCAUCUGGAAGAAUCUGGAGACAGGUGCUGCAUGGCUGUCGUCAGCUCGUGUCGUGAGAUGUUGGGUUAAGUCCCGCAACGAGCGCAACCCUUGCCUUUAGUUGCCAGCAGUUCGGCUGGGCACUCUAAAGGGACUGCCGGUGUUAAACCGGAGGAAGGUGGGGAUGACGUCAAGUCCUCAUGGCCUUUAUGACCAGGGCUACACACGUACUACAAUGGCCGAUACAAAGGGCAGCGACACUGCGGGGUGAAGCCAAUCCCGUAAAAUCGGUCUCAGUCCGGAUUGGAGUCUGCAACUCGACUCCAUGAAGUUGGAAUCGCUAGUAAUCGUGGAUCAGCAUGCCACGGUGAAUACGUUCCCGGGCCUU